AUGAACGCUGGCGGCGUGCCUAAUCCAUGCCAGUCGAGCGAACGGACGAGAAGCUUGCUUCUCUGAUGUUAGCGGCGGACGGGUGAGUAACACGUGGAUAACCUACCUAUAAGACUGGGAUAACUUCGGGAAACCGGAGCUAAUACCGGAUAAUAUUUUGAACCGCAUGGUUCAAAAGUGAAAGACGGUCUUGCUGUCACUUAUAGAUGGAUCCGCGCUGCAUUAGCUAGUUGGUAAGGUAACGGCUUACCAAGGCAACGAUGCAUAGCCGACCUGAGAGGGUGAUCGGCCACACUGGAACUGAGACACGGUCCAGACUCCUACGGGAGGCAGCAGUAGGGAAUCUUCCGCAAUGGGCGAAAGCCUGACGGAGCAACGCCGCGUGAGUGAUGAAGGUCUUCGGAUCGUAAAACUCUGUUAUUAGGGAAGAACACAUGUGUAAGUAACUGUGCACAUCUUGACGGUACCUAAUCAGAAAGCCACGGCUAACUACGUG
rnacentral:rRNA from 1 species